CCCUAUGGGGCGCAGCAGGCGACACUGUAGUAGGCGCUACCUCCGGACAGACGGGAAUCGUUGUGGCUGUCUAUGUGACUUCCGGCACAUGGGCAGGCGGAGACGCGGCAGGCUUCUUGUAUCUGAAGUAUCCUGGUGCUGAUUGGGCCAACUGGACCAACCCCGAGAACAUUCGGGUUGAUGGGGUCACCAGAGCAGCGACCACUGGAACAGGUGAAGCGCUUGGUCUGACCAGGCAAUUAUCUGAGACAUACUGCAACAACAUCGGCAGCACUAGGUGGGGCUGUGAGAAUGUUUGGACAUUAGAUGCGUUGACGAUGCUCUACUUGGUUGAGUACGCCAACUGGAACUCGCAGUCUACCAGCGUCGGAAUUGGCGGGAGGGC
rnacentral:rRNA from 1 species